UAGGGAAUAUUGGGCAAUGGAGGCAACUCUGACCCAGCAACGCCGCGUGAAUGAUGAAGGUUUUCGGAUUGUAAAGUUCUGUAACAGAGGACGAAGAAAUGACGGUACUCUGGAAGUAAGCCCCGGCUAACUAUGUGCCAGCAGCCGCGGUAAUACAUAGGGGGCAAGCGUUGUCCGGAAUGACUGGGUGUAAAGGGUGCGUAGGUGGCUGCGUAAGUUAGAAGUGAAAUCCCAAGGCUUAACCUUGGAGCUGCUUCUAAGACUGCGCGGCUAGAGUGCAGGAGAGAAAAGUGGAAUUCCUAGUGUAGCGGUGGAAUGCGUAGAUAUUAGGAGGAACACCAGAGGCGAAGGCGACUUUUUGGACUGUAACUGACACUGAAGCACGAAAGCGUGGGGAGCAAACA
rnacentral:rRNA from 1 species